rnacentral:rRNA from 1 species
GAGUUGCGAACGGGUGAGUAACGCGUAGGUAACCUGCCUGGUAGCGGGGGAUAACUAUUGGAAACGAUAGCUAAUACCGCAUAAUAGCAGUUGUUGUAUGACAUUUGCUUAAAAGGUGCAAUUGCACCACUACCAGAUGGACCUGCGUUGUAUUAGCUAGUUGGUGAGGUAACGGCUCACCAAGGCGACGAUACAUAGCCGACCUGAGAGGGUGAUCGGCCACACUGGGACUGAGACACGGCCCAGACUCC